UUACAGGCACCACAGGAGAAGGGGGACUUGAAAACACAUUACUGGAAGAUGAGAUGACCUCAGGGGGCUUCUUCCAUGCAGAAGAGGAUGCCAGGGAGCAACUUACGGGAGGGAAAGGAGAGAAUGAGGCUUCAGGAUCCCUGCUGUUUCAAAUACUUCCAUGAUGGCUGCCAACAGGAGGGGAAAGACAAGAGGGAAGAAUCUCGUAAAAUCCCGUGACUCAGGAAGCUCGGGUUCCAGAUAAAACCUUGUUACUCAUGAAGAACCUGUGAACAUUGGAAGGGACUGAACCAAUCCCACAGCACAGAAGUGAAAGAGGUGCUUACCCACAGCAGCAAAGGGGAAGUUGGACAACAGUGAAAAGCCAUCAUUUAUACAAUCCAACCCAGAAAGAGAAAUGAAAGAGACAGCAGAAGACC